CCUGAUGCAGCAACGCCGCGUGAACGAUGAAGGUCUUCGGAUCGUAAAGUUCUGUUGCAGGGGAAGAUAAUGACGGUACCCUGUGAGGAAGCCCCGGCUAACUACGUGCCAGCAGCCGCGGUAAUACGUAGGGGGCUAGCGUUAUCCGGAUUUACUGGGCGUAAAGGGUGCGUAGGUGGUCCUUCAAGUCGGUGGUUAAAGGCUACGGCUCAACCGUAGUAAGCCGCCGAAACUGGAGGACUUGAGUGCAGGAGAGGAAAGUGGAAUUCCCAGUGUAGCGGUGGAAUGCGUAGAUAUUGGGAGGAACACCAGUAGCGAAGGCGGCUUUCUGGACUGCAACUGACACUGAGGCACGAAAGCGUGGGUAGCAAACAGGAUUAGAUACCCUGGUAGUCCACGCUGUAAACGAUGAGUACUAGGUGUCGGGGGUUACCCCCCUCGGUGCCGCAGCUAACGCAUUAAGUACUCCGCCUGGGGAGUACGCACGCAAGUGUGAAACUCAAAGGAAUUGACGGGGACCCGCACAAGUAGCGGAGCAUGUGGUUUAAUUCGAAGCAACGCGAAGAACCCU
rnacentral:rRNA from 1 species